UGCAGAACGGCAAAUAUUGAAUCAAAUGUUGUAUUUCGCAGGUCUGUAUGCUAGCAUACGAACCUGGGUGUUUCCAAAAAAUCCUUUACUUCAGUAGUUGUGUUUUAACGCUGAUUUCGAUUUUUUUUAAACUAAAAGCCUACCACUGACCUCUAUAUUUUCUCCCGAUAGGUAAACAGAAAAGCGUUAAUUUGCAAGGCAAACCGGUAAAGCGUUUACUGUUGUAAAUCUAAAAAUGAAAACCGAUUCUCAAGUUCCACGACUAUGAUCACUUUAUUGACAUGACAGUUAUCUGUUUUUUGCAAAUUAAAAUUACGGAAAAAUGAGGCGAUCAUAAUUUGUACAAGGUUCCAAGUUGUUGACAAAAUUUUAAAUGACGUCAGGGACCUUCUGACGUAAGGCGGAGGGAAUUAUAGACGGAUAGCACUUGACUUACGCGAGUUACUUUUUACCAGUACACUUAAUUAAAAUAAUAGCAAUUGAUUACAAAACAAAAUGUUUUUUUUAUACUUUGUAUUGGUAAAUGAUAAAAAGUCAAAGAACAAAUGGACUAUUUAUCUGCGUUGAAUGACCUAAUAACACCUUAUGUCACGCACUCCUAUAUGACGUCAUUUACAAAUGUAAACAAUGUGAAUGAUCAAUGAAGGAGUUCCCGUCACGGAGAAGAAAAUGGACAAUUCAUUGAAAAAUACGCUCUAUUAUCUAAAUUUUAAUAUACCAGAAGCAAAACAGAAUGUCAGAUACAUUUACGCAUUUUUCAAACAGUGGCUAUACCUUUCAUGUAACUAUUUAUGUGUUGCUUAUGAAUUGAAUUGUAACACUUCUUAGUGACUGGAUAGGUUAAACCAAUGCCUUCCUAGAAAACUACGACAUCAAUGAACAACACCUGACCUUUUGCUGUUCCUGCAAAUAAAGUAAAAUGGCUUCACUAGAAAAGGACGACACCUAGAACAUGUAGAAAAAGCAUCAAUUCUUUGGCUUUCCUGAUUGAAGGAUUUAUUUUUACAACUCCAGUGUAUAAUAUGCCAUUAUAAACAAUUUUUAUCAUAGUAUAAUGCUAUAAAUUCACUAAUUUUCAUAUCUAUUAGCUAAUCCAGUUAGAUAUCGACUUAUGAUAUGCAGUGAAGACAGAUCAUUGCAAAUUGUUUACAUUACCGAUAAUUAAAAUACAUGUAUGCAUGUUUGGCAUACAUCUUUGUAAAGCAAA